AGAGGGGACCCUGGCUGUCGGACAUCACUCGCAGCUGAAGUGCUGGACCAACUCAGCUGCUAGAACACAGGGCUGCAGCAGAUGAAAUGUGACCAGCUACACUCCUAGUCGUGCACCAUCCCUUCCCUGAUGACCACUGUUGUGACAAGAAAAGUUCGUGAACCCCAAAAGUCAACCAAGGAGCUGAAUCUGAUGCAA